CAAUCCUCAGAUCUCAGCCUCCUGACUAGGAUUACAGGCAUCUCAGCCUCCUGAUUUACCCAAGUCCAACUGAGACGUUUUCUAAUGACUUAGAAACUAAAGCAACUAUCACUACUUGUUUAAUUUUGCAGUUGUAUUACAAUUUGCCACACAGUAAAACCAAAAUUCAUUUAUAAACCUUAUUAUUCAUUAUGGCUUACCUUACACUAACAAAAAUCAGGGGACUUGGCUAAGAAAUCAGAUUUCUUUCAUUUGUGUGCUCAUAAGAACUCAUGAAUGAAUUCCUU